rnacentral:rRNA from 1 species
GGGUGGUAAUGCCGGAUGCUCCAGUUGAUCGCAUGGUCUUCUGGGAAAGCUUUCGCGGUAUGGGAUGGGGUCGCGUCCUAUCAGCUUGACGGCGGGGUAACGGCCCACCGUGGCUUCGACGGGUAGCCGGCCUGAGAGGGCGACCGGCCACAUUGGGACUGAGAUACGGCCCAGACUCCUACGGGAGGCAGCAGUGGGGAAUAUUGCACAAUGGGCGCAAGCCUGAUGCAGCGACGCCGCGUGAGGGAUGGAGGCCUUCGGGUUGUAAACCUCUUUUAUCGGGGAGCAAGCGUGAGUGAGUUUACCCGUUGAAUAAGCACCGGCUAACUACGUGCCAGCAGCCGCGGUAAUACGUAGGGUGCAAGCGUUAUCCGGAAUUAUUGGGCGUAAAGGGCUCGUAGGCGGUUCGUCGCGUCCGGUGUGAAAGUCCAUCGCUUAACGGUGGAUCCGCGCCGGGUACGGGCGGGCUUGAGUGCGGUAGGGGAGACUGGAAUUCCCGGUGUAACGGUGGAAUGUGUAGAUA